GCUGGGUGUGGUGGCACUGGCCUGCAGUCCCAGCUACUCAGGAGGGGAGGCUGAGACUGGAGGAUCACUUGAGCCCAGAGUUCUGGGCUAUAGUGUACUAUGCCGGGUGUCUGCACUGAAUCUGGCGUUGAUAUGGUAACCUCCCAGAAACAAGGGACCACCAGGUUUCCUAAGAAGAAGUGGACUAGCCCAGGCUGGGAACAAAACAGGUCGAAACUCCCAUGCUGAUCCUGUGAAUAGCCACUGAACUCCAGCCUGGACAACAUAGCCAGACCCCGUCUCU
ensembl:misc_RNA Metazoa_SRP Metazoan signal recognition particle RNA